CGCAUAUUGCGCCUCCUGGUAUUCCGGGGGGCACGUCUGUUCGAGCGUCGCAAACACAAGAUCGAGCAUUUCGGUGCUUGGAAUUGGACGGUUCAUCCGCAGUGGAUGCCUCCGAAAACGAGCGGCAGGUUGUUCGCACUCCCAGCGCGUUGACAUUAUUUCGCUGAAGGCGGUUGCGAUCGGCUUCGCCGGCAAGCCCGUGCGCUUACUGCGUACUUACCCUUGAAAUCGACCUCGGAUCAGACGGGGAUACCCGCUGAACUUAA
rnacentral:misc_RNA from 1 species